rnacentral:rRNA from 1 species
UACGAGGGGGCGAGCGUUGUUCGGAAUUAUUGGGCGUAAAGGGUGCGUAGGCGGUUUGGUAAGUCUUAUGUGAAAUCUACAGGCUCAACUUGUAGUCUGCAUGAGAAACUGCCGGGCUUGAGUAUGGGAGAGGUGAGUGGAACUGCGAGUGUAGAGGUGAAAUUCGUAGAUAUUCGCAAGAACACCAGUGGCGAAGGCGCUCACUGGCCCGGUACUGACGCUGAGGAGCGAAAGCCAGGGGAGCAAACGGG